rnacentral:rRNA from 1 species
UACGGGGGGAGCAAGCGUUGUUCGGAUUUACUGGGCGUAAAGGGCGCGUAGGCGGCCAGCACAAUUCAGUUGUGAAAUCUCCGGGCUUAACUCGGAAAGGUCAACUGAUACUGUGCGGCUAGAGUGCAGAAGGGGCAACUGGAAUUCUCGGUGUAGCGGUGAAAUGCGUAGAUAUCGAGAGGAACACCUGCGGCGAAGGCGGGUUGCUGGGCUGACACUGACGCUGAUGCGCGAAAGCCAGGGGAGCGAACAGG